rnacentral:rRNA from 1 species
UUUCAUAUUACGGAGGAAAAGAAACCAACAGGGAUUGCCUCAGUAACGGCGAGUGAAGCGGCAAAAGCUCAAAUUUGAAAUCUAGCACCUUCGGUGUUCGAGUUGUAAUUUGAAGAUGGUAACCUUGGGUUUGGCUCUUGUCUAUGUUCCUUGGAACAGGACGUCAUAGAGGGUGAGAAUCCCGUCUGAUGAGAUGCCCAUUCCUAUGUAAGGUGCUAUCGAAGAGUCGAGUUGUUUGGGAAUGCAGCUCUAAGUGGGUGGUAAAUUCCAUCUAAAGCUAAAUAUUGGCGAGAGACCGAUAGCGAACAAGUACAGUGAUGGAAAGAUGAAAAGAACUUUGAAAAGAGAGUGAAAAAGUACGUGAAAUUGUUGAAAGGGAAGGGCAUUAGAUCAGACUUGGUGUUUUACGAUUAUCUUCUCUUCUUGAGUUGUGCACUCGUAUUUCACUGGGCCAGCAUCGAUUCGGAUGGCAAGAUAAUGGCAGUUGAAUGUGGCUUCACUUCGGUGGAGUGUUAUAGCUUCUGCUGAUAUUGCCUGUCUGGAUCGAGGGCUGCGUCUUUUGACUAGGAUGCUGGCGUAAUGAUCUAAUGCCGCCCGUCUUAA